AAAAGGCUCACCAAUAACAGCGCAAACUAUCCAGAUUUAGCUCUUCCUGGUCUGGAAAACUUUACUAGUGACCAAAUGUUUUUCAUCUCAAACGCUGUAGUAUGGUGUGACACCAUGCACGACGAAGCAAUGCGACAAAGGAUUCAGUACAAGCCACACAGCCCUGCGAAAUACAGGACUCUGGUACCUAUGAGCAACAUGGAAGCAUUUUCAGCGGCAUUUUCAUGCGAAGAAGGCAAGCCAAUGAAUCGAACCAAAAAAUGUAGAGUGUGGUAAAUAAAAGUUGCG